rnacentral:rRNA from 1 species
CGCGGCCUAUCAGCUUGUUGGUGGGGUAAUGGCCUACCAAGGCGACGACGGGUAGCCGGCCUGAGAGGGUGACCGGCCACACUGGGACUGAGACACGGCCCAGACUCCUACGGGAGGCAGCAGUGGGGAAUAUUGCACAAUGGGCGGAAGCCUGAUGCAGCAACGCCGCGUGAGGGAUGACGGCCUUCGGGUUGUAAACCUCUUUUAGCAGGGAAGAAGCGAGAGUGACGGUACCUGCAGAAAAAGCGCCGGCUAACUACGUGCCAGCAGCCGCGGUAAUACGUAGGGCGCAAGCGUUAUCCGGAAUUAUUGGGCGUAAAGAGCUCGUAGGCGGUUUGUCGCGUCUGCUGUGAAAUCCCGAGGCUCAACCUCGGACCUGCAGUGGGUACGGGCAAACUAGAGUGCGGUAGGGGAGAUUGGAAUUCCUGGUGUAGCGGUGGAAUGCGCAGAUAUCAGGAGGAACACCAAUGGCGAAGGCAGAUCUCUGGGCCGUAACUGACGCUGAGGAGCGAAAGCGUGGGGAGCGAACAGGAUUAGAUACCCUGGUAGUCCACGCCGUAAACGGUGGGUGCUAGCUGUGGGCCACAUUCCACGUGGUCCGUGACGAAGUUAACACAUUAAGCACCCCGCCUGGGGAGUACGG